rnacentral:rRNA from 1 species
GCCUACGGCCAUACCACCCUGAACACGCCUGAUCUCGGAAGCUAAGCAGGGUCGGGCCUGGUUAGUACUUGGAUGGGCGGCCGCCUGGGAAUACCGGGUGCUGUAGGCU